UGAGGAAUAUUGGUCAAUGGACGGAAGUCUGAACCAGCCAUGCCGCGUGAAGGAAGACGGCCCUAUGGGUUGUAAACUUCUUUUGCUGGAGAGCAAUAAGGUCUUUGCGAAGAUCGAUGAGAGUAUCCAGCGAAUAAGCAUCGGCUAACUCCGUGCCAGCAGCCGCGGUAAUACGGAGGAUGCAAGCGUUAUCCGGAUUUAUUGGGUUUAAAGGGUGCGUAGGCGGAAAGAUAAGUCAGCGGUGAAAGAUUUCGGCUCAACCGAGAUACUGCCGUUGAUACUGUCUACCUAGAGUACGAACGGAGCCGGCGGAAUAUGUCAUGUAGCGGUGAAAUGCUUAGAUAUGACAUAGAACACCGAUCGCGAAGGCAGCUGGCUAGGACGUUACUGACGCUGAGGC
rnacentral:rRNA from 1 species